rnacentral:lncRNA from 1 species
UAAAAUAUUUGGAACAUGAUGAAGUAGUUUACAUAACUGCUUUUCUUGAAUCUGUAAAGGAAGAAUCUAAGCAACAGGGUGAAAGCAUUGAAAGGAAAAUGUACCACUCCAUUUUUAGUAACAUUUGAUGCAAAAAUUCGUUUCAUUUACUUGUAUUUGCUCCAAACUUUGAGUGCAGAAUAAUGGGUGAAAUGAUGCAGCAAUAUGCCUAAGGAUUCAAAGAAGUCACACAAUGAAUUACUGCCUUACUGA